AGUUACGUUUCGAGACUGAAAUCACUGCACCUUAAAAACAAAGGAUUGAGCCGCACUGUGUUCCUACUGUUUUACCAUCAGCAAUUGAAUAUUUCACACAACAUAAUUAUCUGGAAGAAAACAAACAAACAGGGAAGGCAGCCUUUGAUGCAGCUGGUCUGUUGGAGGGCGGAAGGUUGGAAUUAGAAUACUCUUCAAGCUGUUGCUGAAUAAUGAAGGGUAGGGCUUCCUUGUUGGGCAGUUACCACAGUCCCCUGGGAGUUCAAAGGACAAAUGUUACCUAAUGUGUACAAAGACUUGAAAAGUUAAGUUGAUUACAAGCUGGUUUAAGAUUGGAUGAAGCAGUAAGAACUAAGGUUCACCAGAGGGACCAAGGAGUAAAGAUCACUGCCAGGGGUCACAGGCCCCAGUGGAUGCUCAGGACUUCUCAUGGCUAAAG
rnacentral:lncRNA from 1 species